rnacentral:rRNA from 1 species
UACGGGGGGAGCAAGCGUUGUUCGGAUUUACUGGGCGUAAAGGGCGCGUAGGCGGUCGUGACAAGUCACUUGUGAAAUCUCCGGGUUAACUCGGAACGGUCAAGUGAUACUGUCGGACUAGAGUACAGAAGGGGCAACUGGAAUUCUCGGGUGUAGCGGUGAAAAUGCGUAGAGAUCGGAAAAGAACACCAACGGCGAAAGCACUCUGCUGGGCCGACACUGACACUGAGAGACGAAAGCUAGGGGAGCGAAUGGG